CACCUCACCAACCAGAAGGGAUUUCCUUUUGGUGAUGAGGUACAACAACCUCAUUGACCUGAAGGAAAUCCUUCUGGUUGAUGAGGCA
rnacentral:miRNA from 1 species